UGGGGAAUAUUGGACAAUGGGGGGAACCCUGAUCCAGCCAUGCCGCGUGUGUGAAGAAGGCCUUAUGGUUGUAAAGCACUUUAAGCGAGGAGGAGGGUACUGGUAUAAAUACUACCAGGUACUGGACGUUACUCGCAGAAUAAGCACCGGCUAACUCUGUGCCAGCAGCCGCGGUAAUACAGAGGGUGCGAGCGUUAAUCGGAUUUACUGGGCGUAAAGCGUGCGUAGGCGGCUAAUUGAGUCGGAUGUGAAAUCCCCGAGCUUAACUUGGGAAUUGCAUUCGAUACUGGUUAGCUAGAGUGUGGGAGAGGAUGGUAGAAUUCCAGGUGUAGCGGUGAAAUGCGUAGAGAUCUGGAGGAAUACCGAUGGCGAAGGCAGCCAUCUGGCCUAACACUGACGCUGAGGUACGAAAGCAUGGGGAGCAAACAGG
rnacentral:rRNA from 1 species